rnacentral:rRNA from 1 species
ACUCAAAUGAAUUGACGGGGACCCGCACAAGCAGUGGAGCGUGUUGUUUAAUUCGAUACAAAACGAAAAACCUCACCAGGGUUUGACAUGUAUCUGCAAAGCCUAUGAAAGUAGGCCUUCUUCGAGAGUGAUACACAGAUGCUGCAUGGCUGUCGUCAGCUCGUGGCGUGAGCUGUUAUCUUAAGUGAUGAAACGAGCGCAACCCUCACCGUAUGUUAAAUAAUUCAUGCGGAACAGCCCGGCUUUGCCGGGAGGAAGGCGAGGAUGACGUCAAGUCAGCACGGUUCUUACACCCUGGGCAACAAACACACUACAAUGGCGAAUAACAACGAGUUGCAAGCUAGCAAUAGCAAGCUAAUCUCUAAAAUUUCGCCUCAGUUCAGAUUGGGGUCUGCAACCCGACCCCAUGAAGUUGGAAUUGCUAGUAAUCGCGGAUCAGCAUGCCGCGGUGAAUACGUUCUCGGGUCUUGCACACACCGCCCGU